rnacentral:sRNA from 1 species
UUGGCAGCCCUGAAAAUUGAAUUCCUCUAUUUAUCAACCAACCAGGGGAAAGGAUCAGUGCAGGCUUCUUCACCACACUGCCCUGCCAAUGUACCUCAACCCUGAGCUGGAGGGGCCACCUCUUGGGGUGAGGGGUGAGUUUUGUCUCCAGGGCCAUUCAGUGCUCAGGCUGUG